rnacentral:rRNA from 1 species
AGUCGACGGUGAAGCCCCGCUUGCGGGGUGGAUCAGUGGCGAACGGGUGAGUAACACGUGAGCAACCUGCCCCUGACUCUGGGAUAAGCGCUGGAAACGGCGUCUAAUACUGGAUACGAGACGUGAUCGCAUGGUCAACGUUUGGAAAGAUUUUUCGGUUGGGGAUGGGCUCGCGGCCUAUCAGCUUGUUGGUGAGGUAAUGGCUCACCAAGGCGUCGACGGGUAGCCGGCCUGAGAGGGUGACCGGCCACACUGGGACUGAGACACGGCCCAGACUCCUACGGGAGGCAGCAGUGGGGAAUAUUGCACAAUGGGCGCAAGCCUGAUGCAGCAACGCCGCGUGAGGGAUGACGGCCUUCGGGUUGUAAACCUCUUUUAGCAGGGAAGAAGCGAGAGUGACGGUACCUGCAGAAAAAGCACCGGCUAACUACGUGCCAGCAGCCGCGGUAAUACGUAGGGUGCAAGCGUUAUCCGGAAUUAUUGGGCGUAAAGAGCUCGUAGGCGGUUUGUCGCGUCUGCUGUGAAAUCUGGGGGCUCAACCCCCAGCCUGCAGUGGGUACGGGCAGACUAGAGUGCGGUAGGGGAGAUUGGAAUUCCUGGUGUAGCGGUGGAAUGCGCAGAUAUCAGGAGGAACACCGAUGGCGAAGGCAGAUCUCUGGGCCGUAACUGACGCUGAGGAGCGAAAGGGUGGGGAGCAAACAGGCUUAGAUACCCUGGUAGUCCACCCCGUAAACGUUGGGAACUAGUUGUGGGGUCCAUUCCACGGAUUCCGUGACGCAGCUAACGCAUUAAGUUCCCCGCCUGGGGAGUACGGCCGCAAGGCUAAAACUCAAAGGAAUUGACGGGGACCCGCACAAGCGGCGGAGCAUGCGGAUUAAUUCGAUGCAACGCGAAGAACCUUACCAAGGCUUGACAUAUACGAGAACGGGCCAGAAAUGGUCAACUCUUUGGACACUCGUAAACAGGUGGUGCAUGGUUGUCGUCAGCUCGUGUCGUGAGAUGUUGGGUUAAGUCCCGCAACGAGCGCAACCCUCGUUCUAUGUUGCCAGCACGUAAUGGUGGGAACUCAUGGGAUACUGCCGGGGUCAACUCGGAGGAAGGUGGGGAUGACGUCAAAUCAUCAUGCCCCUUAUGUCUUGGGCUUCACGCAUGCUACAAUGGCCGGUACAAUGGGCUGCAAUACCGUGAGGUGGAGCGAAUCCCAAAAAGCCGGUCCCAGUUCGGAUUGAGGUCUGCAACUCGACCUCAUGAAGUCGGAGUCGCUAGUAAUCGCAGAUCAGCAACGCUGCGGUGAAUACGUUCCCGGGUCUUGUACACACCGCCCGUCAAGUCAUGAAAGUCGGUAACACCUGAAGCCGGUGGCCUAACC